CGUUAAUACAUAUAUUAAUAAAAAUGUCUUAAACAGUAAAAAAUACACAUUAAAUGAGCACACUCAUUUCAAACUCCAUAUUAAGUCCUUUAGGUGAUAGUGUAUGCAAAUUAAAGAUCCAGCCCAUUUCGCAUUUGUUCAAAUUUGAAUUAAUAUCACCCCCUCUCCAAUGUUUUGUAACAGUUUGGAUCCCACAAAACUUGAUCCCACUUGGAUCCUGAUUGUGGUGUUCCAAAAAGU